rnacentral:rRNA from 11 species
AUCAGCGGGGAAAGAAGCCCUGUUGAGCUUGACUCUAGUCUGUUACUGUGGAACGACUUGAUGGGUGUAGAAUAUGCGGGAGGGGCAACCCGCCAGUGAAAUACCGCAACCGUCAACGUUGUUUUACUUACUCGGUGGUGCGGAGAGGGCCUCGGCUCGCUUCUGGAUCCAAGCCGCCUCGCGCGCGCGAUCCGCGUCGGGGACACUAACAGGUGGGGAGUUUGGCUGGGGCGGCACGUCUGUUAAAAAAUAACGCAGGCGCCCGAUUUUGAGCUCAAUGAGAACAGAAAUCUCAUGUGGACCGAAAGGGGAAAAGCUCGGUUGAUUUUGAUUUUCAGUACGAAUACAAACCGCGAAAGCGUGGCCUAUCGAUCCUCUCGUCUUUGGGAAUUUCAAGCUAGAGGUGUCAGAAAAGUUACCACAGGGAUA